rnacentral:lncRNA from 1 species
CAACUUUGUAUCACCUGAGCUUAACUAACACCUGGCACAGAGAAGAAACAUAUUAAGGAUUUGCUGAGAGAAUAAGAUAGUAUAACUUGGUCUUAUAUCUAAGGUUUGAUUUUCUAGGAACCUAUAGUGAAUUUUAGGCUUGCUUUUCAGUUUUUGUAGCAGGGAUGUAGCACAGGUUUGGGACUCAGCACACCUAGUCUGAAAGCUGAUUUCUGUCACAGCAUGCAUGAGGGACAGUCUCUUCAGUUUAUUUAUACCUUAGUGCUGUGAUUCUCGAGCUUAUAGACACUGUGAGGACAGAAUUUUAGCUCUUUAAACAAAGGGGGGCAAAUAUACAGUGACCUCUAUCUAUGUAGGUAUUUAACUGAAAGGAAUUCCAGGGCCAAGUGUGUCUACUAUUAAAAGAAACGUACUUUUCUUACAAUGUAGUCCCUGAAUGCAAAUCAUGGUUUUAUCUGGUGGGCAACUGAAGAAACAGCAAUCUGAACUGAUAUGGGAGGCAGACCUCACUGUAACAGGAUUAGUGAGAAACAGUGUUUGUGGCUCUUAAUUGCUCAUUUUUUUUUUUUUAAUGGGGGAUGUUAGGGAUUUUCUAAGGGCAGGUUUAUCCAUAUGCAGAGUUGAUGUUAGGAUGUAAUACCACAAAGAUGUAAUUAACUCCUCUGUUUGUGGUCUCCAUGUUAAUUCACUCUCAUAAGAGGGUAUGCAGUGUGGUCACUAUUCUACCACCAUUUUUAAGAAAAAAUUUAAAACUAUUUUUUAUCUUCCAAAUUAAAUAUUUUGCUAUUUGAUAAGUUAACAAUGCAACAGAAAAUCAAUAUAACUUUUAUCUUUACCAGAAGCCAUAAAAGUCUAUCUAGGAAAAUUUCAGAUGUGUGAACAUGGCUUUAGAGAAGGAACUCAACUACAGACUAUAAGAAAUGUAAAACCAAGCCAGGUUCCUGUUGUGGUCCUUUAUUAUGACCUGGUGACCUAAGCUAGAGAAUCACAGCACUAAGGUAUAAGUAAACCAAAUAGCAUGCAUUGGCUUUAGUUCAGAAGGGGAUUUUUGUGCAGAAAAUAAAUUGAAAGUAGGGCCUCUGGCCAGCAUAAACAGAUAAGAAAAAAGUAUGAUUCCCUACGUCUCAAAAAUGACUCCUUCACACAUCCCACCAAUCAAAGAUCCAUUUGGAAUAACAGGUCUUCUAAAAGCUGCCAUAGAAGUUAAGCCUCCUACCACCUAUACUUCUGUGUGAAUUGAUUUAGUCUGGAGGCAUUUUGAUUGCUUUUCUCCUAACACCUAACUUAGAAGGUGAAAUAGAGGUCUUGUUUGGAGGGAAUUGAAGAAGGAAAAGGAAAGGGCAAUUUCAGAUCAAGGGAUAUGUUGGAAUGGUGGAAAAGUAGGAUCAUUAGGACAGCUGGGAACAGUCUUUUAGUUCUUGGAAGCCAGGAAAAAGAUGUAGAGAGAAGGGCAGAAGUGGUCAAGGCUCCAUGAAAAGGAGGAUGUAGCAGUCAAAUUGGAUGUCGACCAUGCAACAAUGACGUCAGGAACCCUGCUUGGUAUACCAUCUGUACCUGUCUGUACAGCUAUGAUCAUCCUGUAACUGCUGAUGCUGCCUCAUUGCUCUGCUCCAUUGCCUCACCCCAAGCUUUCAAAGUCAUCUCCUACUCUACUCCAGGCUUGCAGACAACAGAUCAUGGAACUUCUUGGCCUCCAUAAUCUCAUGAGCCAAUUUCUAAAAGCAUGUGGGGCUCCCUUGGCAUCUUUGACUUGUAGAAAGUGUAAUAUGGAGUUUCCAGACUAGAACACAAGCUCCAUACAAAGAG